rnacentral:rRNA from 1 species
UAACACGUAAACAACCUGCCUUCAGGAUGGGGACAACAGACGGAAACGACUGCUAAUACCGAAUAAGUUCCAAGAGCCGCAUGGCCCAUGGAAGAAAAGGUGGCCUCUACCUGUAAGCUAUCGCCUGAAGAGGGGUUUGCGUCUGAUUAGCUGGUUGGAGGGGUAACGGCCCACCAAGGCGACGAUCAGUAGCCGGUCUGAGAGGAUGACCAGCCACACUGGAACUGAGACACGGUCCAGACUCCUACGGGAGGCAGCAUG